GAGUGCGCAGGCGCCGGCCGUGAAGACCGACCGUGCGCCGGGCUCGAGCGCGGUCUGAGCGCGCGGCGCCUGCGGCGGCGAACGGACGGACGGACCGCGGACGGACGUACUGACCCCAACCCGCGAGCCCCGGGAGCCGUCGGUCUGAGGAGGGGCCGCUUCGCCAUGUCGCCCCGCACCUGCUGAGCCCGGAGCGUCCGAGGAUGUCCGCGCUGAGGAAGGCUUUCUCGCCAUCCGAGGCUUGGCCCUAGCCCUGCGCGGCUUCCCUCGCGGCUGCUAACCCUCUGCCUGCGCCCAGCCCAGCCACAAUGGGGACUGCUCAGGU
rnacentral:lncRNA from 10 species